CAUUUAUGCAUGUUAAGGUGAGUGCAGCCAACCCCCUCUUGUUUUAUAUAUAUAUAUAUAUAUAUAUAUUUAUUUAUUUAUUUAUUUUUAAUUGGGGUAGCCCCCAAAAUAUUGGGACAUAUAAAAAAAGACAACUCUGUUCUGCAGAGUAGCUGUUGACAUUAUAGUUGCGCAGGCACUUUAUUGACUCUAGAGAACCUCGGGCCAAUCGCACAUCCCUGUGGUGGCGAUUCUGCAUGCGGAUGUCAUUCAUAUCAACUUUCGAUGCCAGUUUCUGCGCCUACCAUGGUGACCACGGGUAACGGGGAAUCAGGGUUCCAUUCCUUACAGGGACCCUGAGAAACAGCUACCACUUGCAAGGAAGGUAGCAGGCGCGCAAAUGACCCACUCCCGACGCGGGACGGGAG